rnacentral:lncRNA from 10 species
CUUCUCUGCCUCUCUCUCUCUGUUUCUCUCUCUCUCUCUGUUUCUCUCUCUCUGUUUCUCUCUCUCUCUCUGUUUCUCUCUCUCUCUCUGUUUCUCUCUCUCUCUCACUCUCUCUCAUUCUCUCUCUGUCCCACAUGAGAAGACAGUGGGAAGAUAGCCACCUAUGGAGUGGAGGAGUACCCUCACCAAAACUGAUCUCAGAUGAGACUGGAACCCUGAUCUCAAACUGCCAUCAUCCAGAGCUAUGAGAAAUGUUUGCUGUCGAAGUCACCUCGUCUAGGGUAAUGUGUUAUAACAACCCAAGCUGAUGAAGAAAGCCACUGUCUGAUUAGAUGGGUCUCUCCUAAGGAAUUGGUUUCUUGUUAGGUAAUGUACCCUGGUAUCAAGAUUUGGAAAACAGUGUAAAUAUUAAUUCAAAGUAAUUAUUUGAGCUGUGCUGGUAACUAGACCUACUAGAGUAAUUCUGGCUCAAAUAGUUCUUGUGAUAUGCCCUGCUUAUUCUUAUAAGGAUUGAGAAGUUGACUAAAAUUUGUCCAUUAUUUAUUACCAGUGAACUCUGGUAUUUCCUGAGGGUAUUUUCUCAAACCUACUCGUUCCUUCCAGGCCUCUGCCACUUGCUCAAUGUAGUAUCCCAGCUCUCUGUCACUUUCCAUGCCUCACCUCAUGACGCUGCUUGCUAGUUCAGCCUCCCUCCUGGCAUGGGCCAGACAGCAGCAUAUUCUCCUUACCUGCUGUCAUGAAAGCUGUAAUAACUGCAAUGCCCAGUGCAAAGCUACCUAAACCCAGGAAGAAUCUGGCCUCCCCACUUACUUUCAAGGUGGGACUAGGUAACACAGUCCAGAAAUGUUGAGGAUUUCAGACCAUUAGGGUAUAUUCGGCCACUGAGAGUCAGGAGAAAUUGAGGAGCCAACAAAUUAUGUCUUCACAUUUACUCACUCUCUCCCCCACAGGAUCACUGUGGAGAAGGUGUUUUCAUUGGCCUCUGCACAGGCACCCUGCAUCACUCAUUAGUCAGUCGAGCUUCCUGGGGCCAGCUCAGUAGCAUGCCAACUUGUAUGUGAUUUUCUUCCCCUCAACCUUAAUGACCUGGUACUGCACCCAUUCCUAAAGUAUUAGCACACAAGCUUUCCUUUAGGCUCUGUUGGUUAGGGGCUCUUUGACUCAUUACCCCUUCUACCCCAGCUCACAUACACUGUUGCCCUGCCAAAUAACAUGUUUAUUUCAGUGAUGUCAGCAGGAACAGACAUUCAUGUCCAACUGUGUUGAUUCCUUCUUUUAGUCUAUCUUGGAAGUAGCGAAGAAUUUCUGCUCUGGGGCCUCUCUUUCAACUGAGGACACACAUCAAGACACAGCUGUUGCACCAGAAGCUGUAAUUCUGCAGGCCUGCCAACUGGCACAUUCCAUCAUAUAACAAGAAUUCUUGGGAUGUGGAAUCCAAAACACUGGCCAGAGACAUAGCUUAAUAUCACUACAGUGGUGUGGGAUGGAGUAAAUAUUAGUACUUGUUUUAUUUUUUCUGCUUCUGAGCCCACCGAAGUGUACUGCAAUCCAUCAAGACAGAAAAUCCUGCAUUUUGUGGUCCAGAGUAUUUGGAACUGAUUUAGCUGUACCUGGAUCCAAGUUGAUUUGCCUUCAAUCUCCCAGACUUAACUGUUGAAGUCUAUAGCACAUUAAGCAUUUAGGUCUACAGAGUCACAGCCAUUCACUGACCCGGCUCUAAUUUUCACUUGGAGUUAGUACUUUUUGAUUUGGGAUUUGUGAAAAGGCAAAAAUAUUUGUCAGACACCCACUGCCAGGAAUGCUGAUUUUAAUUUCGUGACUUCUACUGCAGAAAAAAAAAAAAAGUUAAUUUUCCCACUUGGAGUUUUUAUCCAUGGAUAUCAGGCUACAAUAUUUCCCCCAGAGUUAUCUUUCCUGCUUCCUUCUUUUGGCAAAACUUACAUGGAGGUGAGUUUCCUCAAUGUGGGCAGAAGGUUAAAGCAAUAAGAACUUGCGGUUGCUGGCCUUCCUUGUAGCCUGGUUUCUGAAUGCAUUUAGGUUGAUGUGGCAUCGUAACACUCUCUAGGGCUUACAGGAAAACUUCGUUCUGUUCCGGAAGCUGCUGUGAGCCAGCGGCUAUGAACUUGUGGCCCAGCCACAGGGAAUCAGGAACUUCUGAGUUAGAGCCCAGACGCCACUGAGCCUCACUGAGUGACCUCAAGCAAGUUACUUAACAUUUGCCUGCUCCUCAUUUUCCAGCUGUAAAAUGGGGAAAAAAAAUAUAUUUGCUCAUUCAAGUUAAGCAGUUUGCAAGUUGUUCCUACCGUACUGUGGGUUAAUUUUUAUGCAUGUUUUUGGUUUUCAUUUUUUGCUUUGUUUUUUCAUAACAAAUUUAAAAGGGGAAAGGGGGUGUAAUUUUAUUUUUUAAAAGAUGACACAUAAAAAUUGCCACAAUUCGAACUGAACUUAAAAGAUGUCAAGUAUAUCAAAAUAUAAAUGUAUAACCUUUUUUGAGCUGUGCUGUAACACUCAUUAGAUAUUCCCUGCCAAUUAUAGUGUGACUGCAAUGAAGAUGAAGUUUUUUUCAUGUUUUCUCUCUACUGUGGCCCCAGAAUUUAGAACAGAGCCUGCCAUACA